GCUUUCUCAUCUUUCCCUCUUCUCUCUUUCUUCUCUCCCACCAGGUUUCUGCCCCAAAUUCACACACUCCCUCCUAUCACCAAAGCCACCUGCCACCGCUGGCCUCCUGCAUGCUGUGGGAAGAGAGCAGGGCAGACGACAUUGCCUCCCUUGACUCCAGUGGCACGGGUUUGUGAGUCCAUGGGGCGCAGAUGUCCAGGGAACCAUCUGACGCAAUGUGAGGGCAAGCAAACACUCAAUGAGACAACCAUGGACCCUAGGGAUGCAACGGUGAAGGAGACGCAGCCCUUCAACACCUGGCAGGGCAGAGACACUUCAACAGCCCCAGUGGACAGUGUGAUGGCUGCCUGGAUCCCCAGAGUUUGUCUGGGAAGCCUCUUGAGAUGGGAUUAUGUGCUCCUAGGAUCCCAGGAGGAAGAAUGGGGCAACAGCAGACAAACCUAUGCCUCUGCAGCAGCCGUACCGUCGUCCUGGGAGUGAGCCCCAGCCGUGGCUCAAGGCACAUGUGCCUCCAGAGCACAGUCUGGGAUGCUUAGGGGACAGAGAGGCAGAGGGACUAUCAGGGUGAAGCUGUCUUUUUCACUUCUUUGGCGCUCAGCCCAGGGCCUGGAUUUAUCCGGCACAAAAUGAACAAUGCAGGGCCCUUCAUCUGGGGAAAGAUUAACAGGGGCACCCAAGCAGAGCUAGGAGGUCCAGGUCCUCCAGUGGCAGGGAGGGAGGGAGCUCCUUUCCAGUUAUUUUCUUUCCUAGAUAGAGGAUCUUGGUGACUCAUCUCCCAGUUCAACUGUAAAGGCUAAGGGGCUCCUUGAAGUUUCCUUCCCUAUGAAA
rnacentral:lncRNA from 1 species